rfam:Ovis aries breed Texel chromosome 3, whole genome shotgun sequence.
UGGCUCAGACGGUAAAGCGUCUGUCUACAACGCGGAAGACCCAGGUUCGAACCCUGG